GACGGAGGGUGCAAGCGUUGUUCGGAAUCAUUGGGCGUAAAGGGCGCGCAGGCUGUCUGGCAAGUCCGAUGUGAAAUCCCGGGGCUCAACCCCGGAAGUGCAUCGGAAACUGUCAGACUUGAGUAUGAGAGAGGUCCGUGGAAUUCCGGGUGUAGGGGUGAAAUCCGUAGAUAUCCGGAGGAACACCAGCGGCGAUAGCGACGGACUGGAUCAUAACUGACGCUGAGGCGCGAAAGCGUGGGGAGCGAACAGG
rnacentral:ncRNA from 2 species